UACAGAGGGUGCAAGCGUUAAUCGGAUUUACUGGGCGUAAAGCGUGCGUAGGCGGUUCAUUAAGUCGGUUGUGAAAUCCCUGGGCUUAACCUGGGAACUGCAGUCGAUACUGGUGGACUAGAGUACGGUAGAGGGUGGCGGAACUCCGGGCGUAGCGGUGAAAUGCGUAGAUAUCCGGAAGAACACCGAUGGCGAAGGCAACCACCUGGGCCUGUACUGACGCUGAGGUACGAAAGCGUGGGGAGCAAACAGG
rnacentral:rRNA from 1 species